GAUGAACGCUGGCGGCGUGCCUAAUACAUGCAAGUCGAGCGAACAGACGAGGAGCUUGCUCCUCUGACGUUAGCGGCGGACGGGUGAGUAACACGUGGAUAACCUACCUAUAAGACUGGGAUAACUUCGGGAAACCGGAGCUAAUACCGGAUAAUAUAUUGAACCGCAUGGUUCAAUAGUGAAAGACGGUUUUGCUGUCACUUAUAGAUGGAUCCGCGCCGCAUUAGCUAGUUGGUAAGGUAACGGCGUACCAAGGCAACGAUGCGUAGCCGACCUGAGAGGGUGAUCAGCCACACUGGAACUGAGACACGGUCCAGACUCCUACGGGAGGCAGCAGUAGGGAAUCUUCCGCAAUGGGCAAAAGCCUGACGGAGCAACGCCGCGUGAGUGAUGAAGGUCUUCGGAUCGUAAAACUCUGUUAUUAGGGAAGAACAAAUGUGUAAGUAACUAUUCACGUCUUGACGGUACCUAAUCAGAAAGCCACGGCUAACUACGUG
rnacentral:rRNA from 1 species